rnacentral:rRNA from 1 species
AGAGUUUGAUCAUGGCUCAGAUUGAACGCUGGCGGCAGGCCUAACACAUGCAAGUCGAACGGUAACAGGAAACAGCUUGCUGUUUCGCUGACGAGUGGCGGACGGGUGAGUAAUGUCUGGGAAACUGCCUGAUGGAGGGGGAUAACUACUGGAAACGGUAGCUAAUACCGCAUAACGUCGCAAGACCAAAGAGGGGGACCUUCGGGCCUCUUGCCAUCGGAUGUGCCCAGAUGGGAUUAGCUAGUAGGUGGGGUAACGGCUCACCUAGGCGACGAUCCCUAGCUGGUCUGAGAGGAUGACCAGCCACACUGGAACUGAGACACGGUCCAGACUCCUACGGGAGGCAGCAGUGGGGAAUAUUGCACAAUGGGCGCAAGCCUGAUGCAGCCAUGCCGCGUGUAUGAAGAAGGCCUUCGGGUUGUAAAGUACUUUCAGCGGGGAGGAAGGGAGUAAAGUUAAUACCUUUGCUCAUUGACGUUACCCGCAGAAGAAGCACCGGCUAACUCCGUGCCAGCAGCCGCGGUAAUACGGAGGGUGCAAGCGUUAAUCGGAAUUACUGGGCGUAAAGCGCACGCAGGCGGUUUGUUAAGUCAGAUGUGAAAUCCCCGGGCUCAACCUGGGAACUGCAUCUGAUACUGGCAAGCUUGAGUCUCGUAGAGGGGGGUAGAAUUCCAGGUGUAGCGGUGAAAUGCGUAGAGAUCUGGAGGAAUACCGGUGGCGAAGGCGGCCCCCUGGACGAAGACUGACGCUCAGGUGCGAAAGCGUGGGGAGCAAACAGGAUUAGAUACCCUGGUAGUCCACGCCGUAAACGAUGUCGACUUGGAGGUUGUGCCCUUGAGGCGUGGCUUCCGGAGCUAACGCGUUAAGUCGACCGCCUGGGGAGUACGGCCGCAAGGUUAAAACUCAAAUGAAUUGACGGGGGCCCGCACAAGCGGUGGAGCAUGUGGUUUAAUUCGAUGCAACGCGAAGAACCUUACCUGGUCUUGACAUCCACGGAAGUUUUCAGAGAUGAGAAUGUGCCUUCGGGAGCCGUGAGACAGGUGCUGCAUGGCUGUCGUCAGCUCGUGUUGUGAAAUGUUGGGUUAAGUCCCGCAACGAGCGCAACCCUUAUCCUUUGUUGCCAGCGGUCCGGCCGGGAACUCAAAGGAGACUGCCAGUGAUAAACUGGAGGAAGGUGGGAUGACGUCAAGUCAUCAUGGCCUUACGACCAGGGCUACACACGUGCUACAAUGGCGCAUACAAAGAGAAGCGACCUCGCGAGAGCAAGCGGACCUCAUAAAGUGCGUCGUAGUCCGGAUUGGAGUCUGCAACUCGACUCCAUGAAGUCGGAAUCGCUAGUAAUCGUGGAUCAGAAUGCCACGGUGAAUACGUUCCCGGGCCUUGUACACACCGCCCGUCACACCAUGGGAGUGGGUUGCAAAAGAAGUAGGUAGCUUAACCUUCGGGAGGGCGCUUACCACUUUGUGAUUCAUGACUGGGGUGAAGUCGUAACAAGGUAACCGUAGGGGAACCUGCGGUUGGAUCACCU